GAGUGCGCCAAACAGAUUCUGAAGAGAAAGUGAGCCGAAUUAUAGCCGAGACAUCUAGAUCCAGUAAAGGCCUUGUAUACACACUUGAAAAAGAAGAGAGGGUCCAUUUAUUUCCAUAGCCAAUAAGGAUAUUGGAAGCAAUCAGUAUCGUCUGUCAAGAUAUGGACUGGAAGUCCGGCAAAACUUCAAAGCUACAAAAUACAGUAGAA